UACGGGGGGAGCAAGCGUUGUUCGGAUUUACUGGGCGUAAAGGGCGCGUAGGCGGUCAGCACAAGUCAGUUGUGAAAUCUCCGGGCUUAACUCGGAAAGGUCAACUGAUACUGUGCGACUAGAGUGCGGAAGGGGCAACUGGAAUUCUCGGUGUAGCGGUGAAAUGCGUAGAUAUCGAAGGGGACUUUCAGAGGCGAAGGCGAUUUUCCUAAUAAUACUGACACUGAAGCACGAAAGCGUGGGGAGCAAACAGG
rnacentral:rRNA from 1 species